rnacentral:rRNA from 1 species
CACGUAGGGCGCAAGCGUUAGGCGGAAUCACUGGGCUUAAAGCGUGUGUAGGCGGACUUCUAAGUACCUUGUGAAAUCCCACGGCUCAACCGUGGAACUGCUUGGUAUACUGGUUGUCUUGGGCCAUCUAGGGGCUAGCGGAACAAACGGUGGAGCGGUGAAAUGCGUAGAUAUCGUUUGGAACGCCAAUGGUGAAAACAGCUAGCUGGGGAUGUGCCGACGCUGAGACACGAAAGCCAGGGGAGCGAACGGG